CGGAUGUGAGUGUGAUCAGAAGAACAUGAGCAAGUUCAGAUAAUUCCCAGAUGGCUUGGCUGUGUUCAAAGUAUUUUCAGAUCACAGAUGAUGACAGCUGUUGUAACAGAAAAUGAUUAAGUAAAUUGCCUGGAAAUGUCAUUAGAGUGUCCAGCCUCAAAUGGCAGGAGAGCUUUUGGAACCCCUUUGCUUUCAAGGAGCACCAAGCCAUGGGAUCACUGAAGCCCGUCCCGUUGAAAGAAGUUAGUCUGUAUUUUACCCUCUUGUCAGUGUAUUACUUAACUGUCAAAAGAUGCUGAGUGGCCAGUGAAGUUAAUUUUAGCAA